CAUCACCCUCACAAUGUGUCUUACAGUGAGAUCAAACAUCACCAUAGGUUUACAAAUUGGGGUAUAUUUAAGGCAGGAGGAUGUACAAUCAGUCUAAGUGCAAGAAAUGGAGCUGUGCGGUGUGCUAUUUAAUCGGCUAGAAGACCUGAACAAGUGAAAGGAGUGUGAACAAUGGAGUGAACGUGGUCGGCUAGAAGAUCUGAACAAGUUUACUUUGUGAAGGAAGCAUGAACAAUGGUAACGUCAUCAACCAGUGGAUUCACUGGAAGGCCGCUGACAUUGAAAGCAACCAGCCCAGCCUCGCAAC